GUGAUUUUGUGGGCGCGAGCGUCAGUCAUAAAACCUCAAAUUCCUAAUCUGAGGAACAUGGGUUCGAAUCCCGUCGGGUGCACCA
rnacentral:tRNA from 2 species